rnacentral:rRNA from 1 species
UCCUACGGGAGGCAGCAGUGGGGGAUAUUGCACAAUGGGCGAAAGCCUGAUGCAGCAACGCCGCGUGAAGGAAGAAGGGUUUCGGCUCGUAAACUUCUAUCAACAGGGACGAAAGAAAUGACGGUACCUGAAUAAGAAGCCCCGGCUAACUAAGUGCCAGCAGCCGCGGUAAUACGUAGGGGGCAAGCGUUAUCCGGAAUUACUGGGUGUAAAGGGUGAGUAGGCAGCAUGGUAAGCCAGAUGUGAAAUCCUUGGGCUUAACCCGCGGAUUGCAUUUGGAACUAUCAAGCUGGAUGAC